GAACGCUAAGUUAGUUAAAGAUAAGUGCUGAAAGCAUAUAGGCACGAAACUUAUCUUAAGAUAUUUCUUAAAUAUACGUAAUAUACUAUUACGAAAUUUAUAGGCUUUAUCCGUACGAAUCUUGAGAUUUUAAAGAAUAAAGUACUAAUUUAAUAAUUCACUAU
rnacentral:ncRNA from 1 species